AGAUGGAGGCAAAACAAUCAACCAAUGAAGGAGCCAGACCUUACAAGCAACAGCAGCCAGCAUUACCGGAUGACCCAGAAUACAGCCGCGUGAUAACCUUACAAACGCCAUAUAAUGGUGUAAAUACAACAUACAGUAAACACAUACAAUAAAUACACACUCUUACUCGCUGUGCUAUGUGAUACAUUUGUAAUCCUGUCUAUACAUCCAGUUAUUGUAUAUAUAUGUAAAUAUCUCCUUAGUUUCUACAAAAGAUGCCAUACAUACAGUAUAUCCCAAGGUUUCAGGUAUCUAACCCAGGACAUGGUUAUUGGUGAGCGAAGCUACAACCAGGUGAGGCUGGGCUUUAGGUGGGACCAGGGGCACCUUUCAUACCCUUUGCGGGGUAGUAAAGAAAAUUGAUUAUAUAAUCCAACAUAAUAUUAAAAUAAUGAAGAAUACCAUGUAUACAUACAAACUCUUGUCUCUUAUUCCUGUUCCAGCAAAGCCUAAUGUAUUUAAAGUCUAAUGUAUAAUAAAUAUUUUCCACCCCA